GCCCCUAAUUCAUAAACUGUUGUAGCCUCAACUCCAAAAAUCAAUCCCAACCUUCCUUUUGUGGUCAUAAACCUUGUGUUAAAAUUUCAUUGAUUUCUAUUUACUUAUACUAAAGUUAUUGUGCGAAAACCAAGAAUAAUGCUUAUUUGGGGGCCCUUUUUUGGCCCUUAAUUCCUAAACUGUUGGAACCAAAACUCCCAAAAUCAAUCCCAACCUUCCUUUCGUGGUCAUAAACCUUGUGUCAAAAUUUCAUAGAUUUCUAUUAACUUAAACUAAAAGUUAUAGUGCGAAAACCAAGAAAAUGCUUAUUUGGGCCCUUUUUGGCCCCUAAUUCCUAAAAUGUUGGGACCAAAAACUCCCAAAAUCAAUACCAACCUUCCUUUUGUGGUCAUAAACCUUGUGUUAAAAUUUCAUAGAUUUCCAUUCACUUUUACUAAAGUUAGAGUGCGAAAACUAAAAGUAUUCGGACGACGACGACGACGACGCGCCGACGCCAACGUGAUAGCAAUAUACGACGAAAAAUUUUUCAAAUUUUGCGGUCGUAUAAAAACAGCAAAAUUUCCUUAAAAUUACCAAUUCAGGG
rnacentral:lncRNA from 1 species